AGAGUUUGAUUAUGGCUCAGGAUGAACGCUAGCUACAGGCUUAACACAUGCAAGUCGAGGGGCAGCAUUGGGGUAGCAAUACUCAGAUGGCGACCGGCGCACGGGUGAGUAACACGUAUCCAACCUGCCGCUUACUCGGGGAUAGCCUUUCGAAAGAAAGAUUAAUACCCGAUGGUAUAAAGAGUUCGCAUGUUCUCUUUAUUAAAGAAUUUCGGUAAGCGAUGGGGAUGCGUUCCAUUAGAUAGUUGGCGGGGUAACGGCCCACCAAGUCUACGAUGGAUAGGGGGUUCUGAGAGGAAGGUCCCCCACAUUGGAACUGAGACACGGUCCAAACUCCUACGGGAGGCAGCAGUGAGGAAUAUUGGUCAAUGGACGAGAGUCUGAACCAGCCAAAAGUAGCGUGAAGGAUGACUGCCCUAUGGGUUGUAAACUUCUUUUAUAAGGGAAUAAAGUGAGGGACGUGUCCCUUUUUGUAUGUACCUUAUGAAUAAGGAUCGGCUAACUCCGUGCCAGCCGCCGC
rnacentral:rRNA from 1 species